rnacentral:misc_RNA from 1 species
AACCCUCUCAUUCCAAUUCUUAUAUAUUUUUUUUAUAUAAGGAUUUUUGUGUAAUGGAUGAUGAGUGUUGCUAUUAAUUAUAUAUAUAUAGCUCACUUUAAAUAUAUAAGUACUUUUAUUUGAAAAAUAAAUGGAGUAAUACUUGGUGUAAUAUUUAUAUUAUUCAUUGAGGAGUGUGUAGUUUUUUAAUUACUUACAGCCAUUUAUUUUUCAGAUAAAUAGCUUCUUAACCCCAAUUUCCAUUUUUUU